UCGGUUCGCUAGGGGCGUCCCGGCCGGCCGGGACUGAGAGCGACCCUUUGAACCUGAUCAGUGAAUCCCGUAUGGGGUGAGCUGCGUAGGGAAGCGAGCCGGUUGUGCU
rnacentral:ncRNA from 1 species